GUUUUUUAGGUUAAUGUUCUAAUGUUUAAAUUUGAAAUUUUUUUCCCUAUUUAUUUGUAUUUUGUUAGCUGUUUUAAAUUUCUUAUCAGGCCAUUUCCGGAUUGAUCAUAGAUUUGGUUGAUGGAGUUGGAAAUUAGCGUCGGUUUCUCAUAUCGUAAUGAUUUUGCUGUGAAUUAUUGUCUGGUGGUGCUUUGGUCAUCAGAAAUAGCUAGCUUGCUUG
rnacentral:misc_RNA from 1 species